CUGGUUCUGGAGCUGGAAGGUAGCACCUUGGACAGAGCAGUGCUGGGGAAGGGUAGAAGGAGCUGCAGCCAAGGAAAACCCCAGGCUGCUGGCAUAGGCCAGGCAGGUGCAUAGGGCUGAAGGGGAAGUGGCCCAGGGACAAUAGCAGGGCAAGAGAAGAUAAGGAGGGCAGAGAGGCUGCUGCUAAAGGGUCCCUGGGUUGGGACCCAGAGAAGUGGGUGGGCCUGGGUCCCCCCCUUUCCCUUGUGCUACACCUGGCUGAAGAGGAGUGUGGCCUGAUCCAGGCUGUGGCUGGUCUCUGUGACAAGGGGCUAGACUUAGAGGCUGCAGCUGGCCACUACAGCAGGUGCAGAUUGUGGACUGCUGAUAACACCAAACCCCUGGAAGGGGGUGAGACUGGAGCAGUGGGCACUGCCAGAGGGCAGUGUCCUGAAGAGGAUGUUGCUGAGUGGGGAGCAAUGAGGCUCCCCAAAGCAGAAGAGCAGAUGAAGGGCAAGGCACCAUGUGCAAAAGGUGCCCCAUGACUGGACAGAGCUAAUUCCUGGAGCAACCAGUGGGAGGUGCUGGCAGUGUUCAGCAUGAAAAAGGGGCCUGUCAGGAUGUCAACUGUGCCAUUGCGGUCUUCAGGAGCGCCCCCACCACAUCCUUGGAACACCUGAACCAGAUGAGGAGGAGAAAACAGAGAACUUGGGAUGACAUUCAGUGGGAUCCUGCAAGCCAGUGCUGUAUAACACUGUGACCAAAGGGCCUAGAAGGUAAACACUGCAGUCUAUAUGGAGAAAGAAAAAGCAGGCAGGAGAAAGUCCCAGCAGGAAAAGAAGAGAGAGAUGCGCCAGGACAUAAUGGGGCUUAUCCAGCAGCAAACACAGAUGCUGCAGACUUGUCUGGUCCUACAGGUUCAACGAUCACAGACUCACCUCCCUUUGCAGUCCAGAGACAACUCCGUUACAGCAUCUCCCUUCAGCCCCACCCACUCAACAUUCCAUGUAGCAUCAGGGGCCACAUUCCUCUCCCAACCACUCCACACUAGGGAAUGCUAAGGGCAACCACAGUUUCACUUAAACAGACCUGUGAAACACAUGGUUUCUGUAUGUUUGGCUAAAAUGGACAUGAAUUGUCUUUCCCCUUCUUAAAUUCUGUUCCAUUACUAUAUAAAGUUUAUAAUGUACUUUUGCUUUUAAAUUGAACAGAUUUUUGCACUGGUUUUGUUACUGAAUAAAAUUCUAUUUGGAAAAUAUUUCAUCUUUAUAAUUCCCAACACAUGUUGCAGAGUGCCUAGCAGUUCUCAAAGCACCCACUUACUUGUUAUUUUACAGAGCGACUCAACUCAUAUGAUCA